CAACCCUCAAGCCCCCGGGCUUGGUGUUGGGGCUCGGCCCGUCCCCAGCGGCGCGCCGUCCCCGAAAUCUAGUGGUGGUCUCGCUGCAGCCUCCCCUGCGUAGUAGCUAACACCUCGCAACGGGGACUGAGCGCGGCCGCGCCGUUAAACCCCAACUCCUGAA
rnacentral:misc_RNA from 1 species